CGGCUGGAUCACCUCCCUUCU
rnacentral:rRNA from 1 species